CUCGCGGCUCCCGCGGGCGCACCGCGGGCGGCUCCACGGCGCUCCCAUGCCGGCGCCGCGCGGGAAGCCGGGGCCCCAGCGCCGGAGGCACGGAUCCGGGCGCCGCUGGUCCCAAGCUGCAGAGCGAUAAAACUAAAGGUCCUGCUCCAAUUAUUUACAGAAUUAUCAAAGAAGUGUCCUGACUAUUUUCACUGCUAGUAUCUAACAAGCAAUUUCACUACAUAAGUGUUCUUCUCAUUUUAUGUAUAUGGACACUGGGCCUCAGAGAAGUUGAUCUCAUCCUCUUGAACUAUACUAUGCUGCAAAGAGGAAUAGCGAUGAAGAACAAAGUCUACGUGGAGCACAUGUUUGGUGCAGUGGUUAAGUCAUUGCUUGGGAUUCCCACAUCCCAUAUUGUAGUGACAGGUUCGGGUCCUGGCUGUGCUGAGGCAGCAGAUAAUGGCCAAGUGCUUGAGUCCCUGCCAGCCACAGCGGGGACCAAGGACAGGGUUCUGGGCUCCUGGCUGGGGCUGGCCCAGCCCUGGCUAUUGUGGCUAUUUGGGAAGUGAACCAAUGGACAGAAGAUUGUUGUCUAUUUCUUUCUCACUAUCUUCCUUUAAAAUACUUUUUUUUUAAAUAGGAAAAAAAACAAGACUAUACAGUCAGACUAAUCUUGGCUCCACCAUCUACUCUACAGUUGGUCAUGUUUGUUACCUUUUUUCAGCCAUAGUCUCCUUGGCUGUAAUACGCAGAUAUUAAGAAUACUAAUAAUACAUUUGUAGUAACACUCAUAAUAACAACACUUAUAAUAACACAUAAUAUAUUUCUUGUGGAAACAGAUAAUGCAUAUAAUGAUUUUCCCCAGUAAUUAACACCUAUUAGAGUUAAAAAAAAGGUAUAACCAUUAUUUUGUGACCUGUGGUGCUGUGGCAUAACAUAUAGGUGCCAGUUCAUGUCCCAGCUGCUGCUUUUCCAAUCCAGCUCUCUGCUAUGGCCUGGGAAAGCAGUGCAAGAUGGCCUAAGUGAUUAGGAUCCUGAACCCAUAUAGGAGACUGGGAAGAAGCUCCUGGCUUCAGAUCGGCCCAGCUCCGGCUGUUGUGACCAUUGCAGAGUGAAGCACAAAAUGGAAGACCUUUCUCUGUCUCUCCCUCUGUCUGUAACUCUACCUCUCAAGUAAAUAAAUAAAAUCUUUAAAAAAAUUAUUAUUUUAAUAAAAAAUCACAGGUAAAAACCUUUUCCAGCUGGUCAGAGUAGUUUGACAUCAAUGUAAAAACCUGUUCAUAUGAAGAAAAAAGGAAUACCUUAAUAAGAAUAAAUAGGUGCUGACAAGAGUGGAAGAAUUUGCUGGAAGCCACAUCAGUUUCCCAAUCAAGUACGGUAAGCAUAAUAUAUAUUUACAUCAAAGUCAGGGACUACAUUUUACUUUCCUUGACAACUCCCAAGUGACAAGCACACUGUUAAGGAGGCAAUAGUUAUUCAAUAAAUACUUCAUAGAGAGUUACAUCAAAGGUCUCCAGUUGCAUUUCUGGAACUUGUCACUAGGCACAAGCUUCAACUACUAAGCUCUCAGAAUUUCUAAUGGCAUGGACCACAGAGUUUUCUAGACUUGUGUUCAAUGCUUACUUAAACUGUACAUAGCUUACCCUCUCUCCAAUUUCAGUUUGGUCUCCAAAUGGUAGUAAGUCAAUAUCUGGUUGCAAAGAACAGGCAUCUGUGACAGCUUUGUACCUUCGGAAGAAAGGAUUUUGAAUUUUUAGACACCUACUAAGACACUGCCCAUAAACUGAGCUCCAGAUGCAGUAUCUUGAGGGCUAAAAACAUGUUUCCUGGGCAACUUAGAAUAUAACGCGAGGUAUGCAGAUACAAAGAAAUACAGAUAAGAGUUGCCACUCUUCUCACUGCAAAAAUGAUAGCCAUAUGAGGUGAUGCUAAUUUAGAUACUCUACUAUGUAUAUUGGCUUUGAGGCAGCCUGUUAGACAUGAUAAAUACAUACAAUGUUAUCUGUAAAUUUAAAAUUCUUAGGAAAAUGCUAGUAUGUGGAGAAGACUGAUUAAAAAAAAAAAAAAAAACAUGCCUUUGGAGGUGCUCUAGUGAGAGGUGGGUACAAAGUUCUCCCAAAAUACAGAAGCACUGAAGGACACUCAGGGAAGUUGCAGGGCAGGCAAAUCUGCAUCCAGCAAGGUGAGGAGUAAUUUUCCAGGGAGAAAAAUGAGGACAAGGGCAGCUUAAGGAACUCCAGGAGGGCUGGCGCCACGGCUCACUUGCUUAAUCCUCUGCCUGUAGCACCGGCAUCCCAUAUGGGCGCCGGGUUUUAGUCCCAGUUACUCCUCUCCCACUCCAGCUCUCUGCUGUGGCCCAAAAGGGCAGUGGAGGAUGGCCCAAGUGCUUGGGCCCCUGUACCCGCAUGGGAGACCAGGAGGAAGCACCUGGCUCCUGGCUUCAGAUCAGCACAGUGCUGGCCAUAGCGGAGUGAACCAAUAGAAGGAAGACCUUUCUCUCUGUCUCUCUUCACUGUCUGUAUCUCUACUUGUCAAAUAAAAAAAAAAAAAAAAGGAACUCCAGGAUGUGGAGUCAUCUCCGGAAGGAACUCCAGGAGGUAGAGACCUCUCCGGGAGGUGACAGACCACAGUAGGCUCAUUCUGGGUAACACAUAACAUAGGUGUCCUUGCACUCGAUCACACAUGAAGGAGGGGGACGUGGAAGAUGAUGAUGGCUGAUGGUACUCAACUUGAUCGAGGCUGGCAGUGGGAAUCAGAUGCAUGGGAAGUAUGAGCACAGGGAAGCGUAGGAAUUGAAGGGACCGGGAAGAAAUACCAGGUAUUUCUGUUUCCUUUGUCACCUGGACUUGAAAUACUCGAGUUAUCCUUGACUCCUUCCUAUUCUUAUCUGUCCUCUCUCUCUUACUCCAGAAUGUUUUCCUUCCUCAACAUUCCUUUACAUUUCUGCUGUCACCCCAAGGGCAGCAAGAACCACCACAUGCCUGGAUCAUUAUUCUGACUCACUCCUAGCGGUCUCCUCGCUCCCAACUCAGAAUAAACUACCAAGAGAUUUUACUUCCAGAUUAGCGGGCUUGCCUUGCUAUGCUUGUCUCUAACGUCAGGAGUGCUGCCCCAGAACGCACACAAUUAAAUCCCACUGGGCCCCCUCUUGUGACCUGAUUUCAGAACUCCCUUUCUGCCUGUGCCCACUCUGCAAACGAUCCCAUGCAAUCCAAGUUCUUCUUCCCAUACUAUAUGCUUUGUUGAUUCAAAAACCCUUGGUGAGGGCAGGCAUUUAGAACAGGGAUUAAGGCACCCUUUGGGAUGCCCGCAUCCCCUAUGAGAAUGCCUGGGGUCACAUCUAGCUCCUGACUCCAGCUUCCUGCUAAUGCAGACCUGGGGAGACAGUAGGGAUGGCUUAAGUAGUCCCUGCCACUCCUAUGGGAAACCCGGUCUCAGGUCCCAGCUCCAGGCUUCAGCAUGGCCCAUGGAAGGCAUCUGGAGAGUAAUCCCAUGAAUAACAAUACCCUAUGUAUCUGCCUUUCCCUGCCUCUGAAGACAUCAAGAAUGAAAACAAAAAACGUUUAGUGAUGGGCAUUAAAGUGGGGUGAGCAGGGAAGAGAGCUGCAGACGUAAAGGUUCCAAAACAAUGGACCAAAUCCAUGGAUCAGAAAUAGGUGCCGUUCAGUUCCACAUUGUAUAUGCUCAAAGUUACCUCUGUUUGUUGAAAGGACUUCCAAAGGUGAUAUUUUCUUCUACUGUGGCGUUUAAUAGCCAGGGUUUUUGGGCUGCAUAGGCCACUGAGUACCUGUUCCUACUGUAGACCAAAAAAGAAAAAAAUACACUGGAAUUAGGCAAAGUUGCUGUGCUGGGUGUGUACUUUAGUAUAACUAUGGAAAAUAACAGUUGAUGACAUAUCUCAAAUAGAGAAAUGGAAAACUUCCAAAAGGGACUAGUUUAAAGACCACCAACCUGAUUACGAAAUGGUUAAAUAUGCCACUUAAAUGAAAAGGAUUAGAAUUUAAUCAAAAAGUCACACAGUGUAUAACAUCAAAUUUUGUUGGGUUCAAAAAGUAUUUGAAGGUCUGAACUAUUAAUCAUAAGUUUCUCCUUAAAAAUAACUAUAAUCUUAAAAAUAAUUUAAAUAUGAUAAAUUCAUGAUAAAUGUAUUUCAAAACAUAUCGAAAUAGUUUAUUUCUUAAAAAUGAUAACUUCCUCUCCCCCCUCCAUUUUUUUGGCUUGCAAGUUCUACCAGAUGUCCAUAUAUCAGACUGCGAUCUUCAGCGAUUAGGAAAAUACAGAUAAAGUACUGAGUUCUCCAUCCCCACCUCACAGGCAGAUUCCAUCAUUGCAUAACUCACAA